AAUCCCCUGCGGUGUUCGUUAAGACCAAAUAUUCUUUGAACCAAUAUUUUGAUACCAGGUUGUGGCUUUGAUUGGUUGCUGUUGUGCGCGUCCUCGGAUGUACCUGAUGCAACCAUGCUGCGACCGUCUUGGACCCUCGCGUUCAAGAUGAUGGUCUGACGGCAUUUGCGGGGGAUCC
rnacentral:other from 1 species